rnacentral:rRNA from 1 species
GAUGAACGCUGGCGGCAUGCUUUACACAUGCAAGUCGAACGGCAGCAUAGAGAGCUUGCUCUCUGAUGGCGAGUGGCGAACGGGUGAGUAAUACAUCGGAACGUGUCCGUUUGUGGGGGACAACCAUCCGAAAGGAUGGCUGAUACCGCAUAAGACCUGAGGGUGAAAGCCGGGGACCGCAAGGCCUGGCGCGAACGGAGCGGCCGAUGACUGAUUAGCUGGUUGGCGGGGUAAAGGCCCACCAAGGCGACGAUCAGUAGCUGGUCUGAGAGGUUGAACGGCCACAUUGGGACUGAGACACGGCCCAG